rnacentral:rRNA from 1 species
AGUGAACGCUGGCGGUAGGCCUAACACAUGCAAGUCGAACGGCAGCACAGUAAGAGCUUGCUCUUACGGGUGGCGAGUGGCGGACGGGUGAGGAAUACAUCGGAAUCUACUUUUUCGUGGGGGAUAACGUAGGGAAACUUACGCUAAUACCGCAUACGACCUACGGGUGAAAGCAGGGGAUCUUUGGACCUUGCGCGAUUGAAUGAGCCGAUGUCGGAUUAGCUAGUUGGCGGGGUAAAGGCCCACCAAGGCGACGAUCCGUAGCUGGUCUGAGAGGAUGAUCAGCCACACUGGAACUGAGACACGGUCCAGACUACUACGGGAGGCAGCAGUGGGGAAUAUUGGACAAUGGGCGCAAGCCUGAUCCAGCCAUACCGCGUGGGUGAAGAAGGCCUUCGGGUUGUAAAGCCCUUUUGUUGGGAAAGAAAAGCAGCAGGUUAAUACCCCGCUGUUCUGACGGUACCCAAAGAAUAAGCACCGGCUAACUUCGUG